GCCUAAAGCGUCCGUAGCCGGCUAUGUUAGUUUUCGGUUAAAUCCAUGUGCUCAACACAUGGGCUGCCGAAAAUACUGUAUAGCUAGGGAGUGGGAGAGGUAGACGGUACUCGGUAGGAAGGGGUAAAAUCCUUUGAUCUAUCGAUGACCACCAGUGGCGAAGGCGGUCUACCAGAACACGUCCGACGGUGAGGGAUGAAAGCUGGGGGAGCAAACCGGAUUAGAUACCCGGGUAGUCCCAGCUGUAAACUAUGCAAACUCAGUGAUGCAUUGGCUUGUGGCCAAUGCAGUGCCGCAGAGAAGUCGUUAAGUUUGCCGCCUGGGAAGUACGUACGCAAGUAUGAAACUUAAAGGAAUUGGCGGGGGAGCACCACAAGGGGUGAAGCCUGCGGUUCAAUUGGAGUCAACGCCAGAAAUCUUACCCGGAGAGACAGCAGAAUGAAGGUCAAGCUGAAGACUUUACCAGACAAGCUGAGAAGUGGUGCAUGGCCGUCGCCAGCUCGUGCCGUGAGAUGUCCUGUUAAGUCAGGUAACGAGCGAGAUCCCUGCCUCUAGUUGCCACCAUUACUCUCAGGAGUAGUGGGGCGAAUUAGCGGGACUGCCGCAGUUAAUGCGGAGGAAGGAGGGGGCCACGGCAGGUCAGUAUGCCCCGAA
rnacentral:rRNA from 1 species